AGGUGGAGCUCUCCGGCUUAGGGGUUCUGCUACUCCUGGCCGUAAAAGAUGACCAAUAGGAGUUAGCCCUUUGGAUACCCUUGCCGAAGAAGAAAUCACAUUGAGCAUUCCGGGUGGGGCCUACUGUCGCAAGACUGAAACUCAAAUGAAUUGACGGGGACCCGCACAUGCAGUGGCGUAUGUGGUAUAAUUCGACGCAACGAGAAGAACCUUACCAGGUCUCGACAUCUGAAUGACCGUCCUAGAGAUAGGGUUUUCCUUGGGGACAUUCAAGACAGGUGGUGCAUGGUUGUCGUCAGCUCGUGUCGUGAGAUGUUGGGUUAAGUCCCGCAACGAGCGCAACCCUUAACUUUAGUUGCCAGCAUUGAGUUGGGCACUCUAGAGUGACUGCCGGUGACAAACCGGAGGAAGGUGGGGAUGACGUCAAAUCAUCAUGCCCCUUAUGACCUGGGCUACACACGUACUACAAUGGUCGGUACAACGGGAAGCGAAGCCGCGAGGUGGAGCCAAUCCUAAAAAGCCGAUCUCAGUUCGGAUUGCAGGCUGCAACUCGCCUGCAUGAAGUCGGAAUUGCUAGUAAUCGCGGAUCAGCAUGCCGCGGUGAAUACGUUCCCGGGUCUUGUACACACCGCCCGUCACACCACGAGAGUUUACAACACCGCGAAGUCGGUGGGGUAACCUGCAAGGAGCCAGCCGCCGAAGGUGGUAAAUGG
rnacentral:rRNA from 1 species